UACGUAGGGGGCAAGCGUUGUCCGGAAUUAUUGGGCGUAAAGCGCGCGCAGGCGGUCCUUUAAGUCUGAUGUGAAAGCCCACGGCUCAACCGUGGAGGGUCAUUGGAAACUGGGGGACUUGAGUGCAGAAGAGGAAAGUGGAAUUCCACGUGUAGCGGUGAAAUGCGUAGAGAUGUGGAGGAACACCAGUGGCGAAGGCGACUUCCUGGCCUGUUCUUGACGCUGAGGCGCGAAAGCUAGGGUAGCAAACAGG
rnacentral:rRNA from 1 species